rnacentral:rRNA from 1 species
ACGAACGCUGGCGGCGUGCUUAACACCUGCAAGUCGAACGGAAAGGCCCUGCUUGCAGGGUACUCGAGUGGCGAACGGGUGAGUAACACGUGGGUGAUCUGCCCUGCACUUCGGGAUAAGCCUGGGAAACUGGGUCUAAUACCGGAUAGGAGCCAUUUUUAGUGUGAUGGUUGGAAAGUUUUUUCGGUGUAGGAUGAGCUCGCGGCCUAUCAGCUUGUUGGUGGGGUAAUGGCCUACCAAGGCGGCGACGGGUAGCCGGCCUGAGAGGGUGGACGGCCACAUUGGGACUGAGAUACGGCCCAGACUCCUACGGGAGGCAGCAGUGGGGAAUAUUGCACAAUGGGCGCAAGCCUGAUACAGCGACGCCGCGUGGGGGAUGACGGCCUUCGGGUUGUAAACUCCUUUCGCUAGGGACGAAGCUUUUUGUGACGGUACCUAGAUAAGAAGCACCGGCUAACUACGUG